rnacentral:tRNA from 1 species
GGUUGUGGCUCAGUGGUAGAGCACUUGCCUAGCAUGUGUGAGGCUCUAGGUUUAAUUCUUAGCACCA